rnacentral:sRNA from 1 species
AGGUACCGCCCGUACCUUCCGGUUCCUGCGCGCCGCCCGCACCCGCCUGACAACCGCUCGCUACGGUUUGUCAGCC